UACGUAGGGGGCUAGCGUUGUCCGGAAUCAUUGGGCGUAAAGAGCGUGUAGGCGGCUCGGUAAGUCCGCUGUGAAAGUCCAGGGCUCAACCCUGGAAUGCCAGUGGAAACUGUCGAGCUAGAGUCCGGAAGAGGAGAUUGGAAUUUACGGUGUAGCAGUGAAAUGCGUAGAUAUCGUAAGGAAGACCAGUGGCGAAGGCGGAUCUCUGGACAGCUACUGACACUGAGGCACGAAGGCCAGGGGAGCAAACGGG
rnacentral:rRNA from 1 species